AUUGAACGCUGGCGGCAUGCUUUACACAUGCAAGUCGGACGAGUGGCGAACGGGUGAGUAACAUAUCGGAACGUACCGAGUAAUGGGGGAUAACUAAUCGAAAGAUUAGCUAAUACCGCAUAUCAUCCGAUCGGCCGAUAUCGGAUUAGCUGGUUGGUGGGGUAAAGGCCUACCUAGGCGACGAUCAGUAGCGGGUCUGAGAGGAUGAUCCGCCAAACGGGGACUGAGACACGGCCCAGACUCCUACGGGAGGCAGCAGUGGGGAAUUUUGGACAAUGGGCGCAAGCCUGACUGAGCCAUGCCGCGUGAGUGAAGAAGGCCUUCGGGUUGUAAAGGACUUUUGUCAGGGAAGCGGUACCUGAAGAAUAAGCACCGGCUAACUACGUGCCAGCAGCCGCGGUAAUUC
rnacentral:rRNA from 1 species